rnacentral:tRNA from 4 species
AAUAAAGUGCCUGAUAAAAAGGAUUAUUCUGAUAGGAUAAAUUAUGUAGAAUUCUACCUUUAUUA